UUGAACGCUGGCGGCGGCUUAACACAUGCAAGUCGAGCGGAGCGGCGGACGGGUGAGUAACGCGUGAGCAACCUGCCUAUGACAGUGGGAUAGCCUCGGGAAACCGGGAUUAAUACCGCAUAGUCAUAGAUGGGCUCGCGUCUGAUUAGCUAGUUGGUGAGAUAACAGCCCACCAAGGCGACGAUCAGUAGCCGGUCUGAGAGGAUGAACGGCCACAUUGGAACUGAGACACGGUCCAAACUCCUACGGGAGGCAGCAGUGGGGAAUAUUGCACAAUGGGGGAAACCCUGAUGCAGCGACGCCGCGUGAACGAAGAAGGUAUUCGUAUCGUAAAGUUCUGUCCUAUGGGAAGCAGUACCAUAGAAGAAAGCUCCGGCUAAAUACGUGCCAGCAGCCGCGGUAAUUC
rnacentral:rRNA from 1 species